UACGUAGGGCGCAAGCGUUGUCCGGAAUUAUUGGGCGUAAAGAGCUCGUAGGCGGUUUGUCGCGUCGGGAGUGAAAACCCAGGGCUUAACUCUGGGCUUGCUUUCGAUACGGGGCAGACUAGAGGUAUGCAGGGGAGAACGGAAUUCCGUGGUGUAGCGGUGAAAUGCGCAGAAUAUCAGGAGGAACACCGGUGGCGAAAGGCG
rnacentral:rRNA from 1 species